AGAGGGUGCAAGCGUUAAUCGGAAUUACUGGGCGUAAAGCGUACGUAGGCGGAUAUUCAAGUCGAGUGUGAAAGCCCUGGGCUUAACCUGGGAACUGCGCUCGAUACUGGGUAACUAGAGUAUGGUAGAGGAAAGCGGAAUUUCCGGUGUAGCGGUGAAAUGCGUAGAUAUCGGAAAGAACAUCAGUGGCGAAGGCGACUUUCUGGACCAAUACUGACGCUAAGGUACGAAAGCGUGGGGAGCAAACAGGAUUAGAGACCCUGGUAGUCCACGCCGUAAACGAUGAGAACUAGACGUUAGUCUGGCUAUUUUAUAGCUGGAUUAGUGUCGAAGCUAACGCGUUAAGUUCUCCGCCUGGGGAUACGGCCGCAAGGCUA
rnacentral:rRNA from 1 species